UCGGAGUAGUUUGACCCGGAGUUACGCGCGUGCACCGCAAGUCUGAAAAGACAGCAUCAAUGGAACCCCGAUUCGACGAGUCACCAUGGAAACGGGGAAGCGAAAGGCUGCGUUUUUGAACUGGAAGUUUUUAACGCGCUCAUAUGGCGAGUUUGAACACGUUUUUAGAAAGAAGUGCAACACCGCUGCAGCUGCAAAAGAGGGGGAGACAGCGUGGAGAACAGCCCGGAUCAAUGCGAUGAAGAGGAUGAAACUGUGUCUGCUGCCUUUACAGAGGGGGAUCCAGAAAGGCAUAGAGAGCAUGGCUGGACAGCAGCAGGAUGGUCCCUCAGCUUCCACUGCACAGACUGACACAGUGAAAUGGAUGUUCAGGAAACACCAGAGAUUCAUUCUGUGGAAUUCAUGUGCAACUGUAUAAUUGAAUGUCCUCUAUGUAUUCCCAGUUAUCAAUAAAACAGAUUUACAAACUGCAUUUGCUGAGAAAAAUCCAAAAAACAGAUUAGGAGGGAAGAUCUGGAAAUUGAAAUACUGGAGCACAAGUUAGAGGUGGUGAUGGUCACAGGUGAAUUAUGUUAACUACUGGAACAUUAACUGAACUAUCUUUUAUUUGUAGGAAAUAAAGAAGAGCAAAUGCAA